GCAGGGGUGGGGCCAGGGUGCUCAGCUUUGUGCAGUUAGGAAAUUGGUAGCCCUGCUGCUGCCCCACUGCCUGGGUGACGCCAAGUCUGGCGUAGCCAAAAGCCCCCCAUAGCACCCCCUGCUGGGCGAGGCCAGGGCUGGCGUAGCCGAAAGCCCCCCACAGCGCCCCCUGCUGGGCGAGGCCAGGGCUGGCGUAGCCAGGCGCCCCCCACAGUGCCCCCUGCUGGGCAAGGCCAGGAGCGAGAGAGGUCACCCCACAUGCACCCACUCACCUGUAGCUCCCAUGGAGGAUUUGGGGACUUUGUAGGA